rnacentral:rRNA from 1 species
CAGUCGCCGCGGUAAUACGAAGGGUGCAAGCGUUAAUCGGAAUUACUGGGCGUAAAGCGUGCGUAGGUGGUGAGUUAAGUCUGAUGUGAAAGCCCUGGGCUCAACCUGGGAAUUGCAGUGGAUACUGGGUCACUAGAGUGUGGUAGAGGAUAGUGGAAUUUCCGGUGUAGCAGUGAAAUGCGUAGAGAUCGGAAGGAACAUCUGUGGCGAAGGCGACUAUCUGGGCCAACACUGACACUGAGGCACGAAAGCGUGGGGAGCAAACAGGAUUAGAUACCCGCGUAGUCCCUGUCUCUUAUAC